rnacentral:tRNA from 1 species
GGGGAUAUAGCUCAGUGGUAGAGUACCUGCCUAGCCUGCAGGAAGCCCUGGAUUAAAUUCCCAGCACCA